rnacentral:rRNA from 1 species
GUUGUAUGGUUAAGUGACUAAGCGUACACGGUGGAUGCCUUGGCAGUCAGAGGCGAUGAAAGACGUAGUAACUUGCGAUAAGCCCAGAUUAGGUAGUAACAACCAUUUGAGUCUGGGAUUUCUGAAUGGGGAAACCCACGUGCAUAAGCACGUAUCCUUACCUGAAUACAUAGGGUAAGGAGGCGAACCGGGGAAACUGAAACAUCUAAGUACCCCGAGGAAAAGAAAUCAACCGAGAUUCCGAAAGUAGCGGCGAGCGAAAUUGGACUAGCCCUUAAGCUUUACACGCGUUAGACGAACGGUCUGGAAAGUCCGACGAUACAGGGUGAUAGUCCCGUAGUUGACGACGUGUGUUCAGUGAAAUCGAGUAGGGCGGGACACGUGAUAUCCUGUCUGAAUAUGGGGGGACCAUCCUCCAAGGCUAAAUACUACUGACUGACCGAUAGUGAACCAGUACCGUGAGGGAAAGGCGAAAAGAACCCCUGUGAGGGGAGUGAAAUAGAACCUGAAACCGUGUACGUACAAGCAGUAGGAGCAGGCUUUGUCCUGUGACUGCGUACCUUUUGUAUAAUGGGUCAGCGACUUAUAUUCAGUGGCAAGGUUAACCAUCUAGGGGAGCCGUAGGGAAACCGAGUCUUAACUGGGCGUUCAGUCUCUGGAUAUAGACCCGAAACCAGGUGAUCUAGCCAUGGGCAGGUUGAAGGUUGAGUAACAUCAACUGGAGGACCGAACCGACUAAUGUUGAAAAAUUAGCGGAUGACUUGUGGCUAGGGGUGAAAGGCCAAUCAAACCUGGAGAUAGCUGGUUCUCCCCGAAAGCUAUUUAGGUAGCGCCUCGGACGAAUACUACUGGGGGUAGAGCACUGUUAAGGCUAGGGGGUCAUCCCGACUUACCAACCCUUUGCAAACUCCGAAUACCAGUAAGUACUAUCCGGGAGACACACGGCGGGUGCUAACGUCCGUCGUGGAGAGGGAAACAACCCAGACCGCCAGCUAAGGUCCCAAAUUACUACUAAGUGGGAAACGAUGUGGGAAGGCUCAGACAGCCAGGAUGUUGGCUUAGAAGCAGCCAUCAUUUAAAGAAAGCGUAAUAGCUCACUGGUCGAGUCGGCCUGCGCGGAAGAUGUAACGGGGCUAAGUAGUAAACCGAAGCUGCGGCAAUGUGCUUUUGCACAUUGGGUAGGGGAGCGUUCUGUAAGCGGUUGAAGGUGUGUGGUAACGCAUGCUGGACGUAUCAGAAGUGCGAAUGCUGACAUGAGUAACGAUAAAGGGGGUGAAAAACCUCCUCGCCGGAAGACCAAGGGUUCCUGUCCAACGUUAAUCGGGGCAGGGUAAGUCGACCCCUAAGGCGAGGCCGAAAGGCGUAGUCGAUGGGAAACGGGUUAAUAUUCCCGUACUUCUUACAAUUGCGAUGGGGGGACGGAGAAGGCUAGGUGGGCCUGGCGACGGUUGUCCAGGUUCAAGUGCGUAGGCUUAAGAGUUAGGUAAAUCCGGCUCUUUUUAAGGCUGAGACACGACGUCGAGCAUCUACGGAUGUGAAGUCAUUGAUGCCAUGCUUCCAGGAAAAGCCUCUAAGCUUCAGAUUGUAAGGAAUCGUACCCCAAACCGACACAGGUGGUCGGGUAGAGAAUACCAAGGCGCUUGAGAGAACUCGGGUGAAGGAACUAGGCAAAAUGGUACCGUAACUUCGGGAGAAGGUACGCUCUCGACGGUGAAGUCCCUCGCGGAUGGAGCUAUUGAGAGUCGCAGAUACCAGGUGGCUGCAACUGUUUAUUAAAAACACAGCACUGUGCAAAAUCGUAAGAUGACGUAUACGGUGUGACGCCUGCCCGGUGCCGGAAGGUUAAUUGAUGGGGUUAGACUUCGGUCGAAGCUCUUGAUCGAAGCCCCGGUAAACGGCGGCCGUAACUAUAACGGUCCUAAGGUAGCGAAAUUCCUUGUCGGGUAAGUUCCGACCUGCACGAAUGGCGUAAUGAUGGCCACGCUGUCUCCACCCGAGACUCAGUGAAAUUGAAAUCGCUGUGAAGAUGCAGUGUACCCGCGGCUAGACGGAAAGACCCCGUGAACCUUUACUACAGCUUGGCACUGAACAUUGACCCUACAUGUGUAGGAUAGGUGGGAGGCUUUGAAGCACGUACGCCAGUAUGUGUGGAGCCGUCCUUGAAAUACCACCCUUGUAGUGUUGAUGUUCUAACGUCGACCCCUUAUCGGGGUUGCGGACAGUGCCUGGUGGGUAGUUUGACUGGGGCGGUCUCCUCCCAAAGAGUAACGGAGGAGCACGAAGGUGGGCUAAUCACGGUUGGACAUCGUGAGGUUAGUGCAAUGGCAUAAGCCCGCUUGACUGCGAGAAUGACAAUUCGAGCAGGUGCGAAAGCAGGUCAUAGUGAUCCGGUGGUUCUGAAUGGAAGGGCCAUCGCUCAACGGAUAAAAGGUACUCCGGGGAUAACAGGCUGAUACCGCCCAAGAGUUCAUAUCGACGGCGGUGUUUGGCACCUCGAUGUCGGCUCAUCACAUCCUGGGGCUGAAGUCGGUCCCAAGGGUAUGGCUGUUCGCCAUUUAAAGUGGUACGCGAGCUGGGUUUAGAACGUCGUGAGACAGUUCGGUCCCUAUCUGCCGUGGGCGUUGGAAGAUUGAAGGGGGCUGCUCCUAGUACGAGAGGACCGGAGUGGACGAACCUCUGGUGUUCGGGUUGUGUCGCCAGACGCAUUGCCCGGUAGCUAAGUUCGGAAUCGAUAACCGCUGAAAGCAUCUAAGCGGGAAGCGAGCCCUGAGAUGAGUCUUCCCUGAUACUUUAAGUAUCCUAAAGGGUUGUCGGAGACUACGACGUUGAUAGGUCAGGUGUGUAAGUGCUGUGAGGCAUUGAGCUAACUGAUACUAAUUGCCCGUGAGGCUUAACCAUACAACACCCAAGGGGUUU